UUUUAUCUCUAAUCUCUAAUCUCUAAUCUCUAAUAUUAGAAAGCCAAAAGACAACUUUGGUGUCUCAAUGCUUCACCAAAAAUAAUUGGACUAAAAUAACCGUCAAACAAAAAAAUUCUAAAACUGAAUGAAAAUAAUGCAAUCAAAAUAGCAGGGGUAUUUUUGUCAAAAAAACAUAAAUUUAUAAUUCAUUUUAUUGAAAAAAAAUCAACAUUAAAAAAAAAGAAAAAAGAAUGUGGUAAACCCUCAAAUAGAAGACGAAAGAUAAACUGCCAAAGCUAGAGAUAGAAGUAGUUUUCUCCAACGAUUCCACAUUCUGCAGGGGCAUUUGAAAGCCGCUGUACGUUUCCACAAAUUUCUCCAAUUUCAUUUUCAUAUCCCUUUUUAAUCAAAUUUCCUCGGUUUACCAAAAUCUCAUUGUCUCUCAAGAUUAUGUUUUGAACUUCUAUAAACAAAAAGGUAAACCAUCGUCUCUGAAUUGUAUGCAUGUCAGCCUUGCAAAAGAUCAAUUGCUCAAAUUUCAUUUUGUUUCUAAUUAAUUUUGAAUGGGUGAUAAGCUUCUUGCUCAAGUCUUCAGUGUUGGUCCUCUUGCAGGAUGCAAGCUCAUCUGAAAGGACAAGGUACAUCACAUGAUUCAGGCUCUUCUGAAUCAUUGUAUGUUGCCUGUUGGCAUGCUUCCUUUGUUUCAGAUGGGAGUCGACUCAAUUAGUAAGCCAUUUGUUUCGAUCUUUUGUCUCUAUGAUUUGCCCUCACAAAUUUACAUUAUUCUCCCAAUAGGUAAGACUAGAACUAUUACUCCUUGCAUACUAUAGAACUAACCUGACAUUUUUUAGUGUUCAAUAUUAUUUGUUUAGGGAGCAUAUUGUUGACAAAUCGUAUUUAUGAGGAAGGUGUGUUCAUUGAAUUUGUAGUUUUUAGAGAGCAUAUGUCUGGGAUGGAGGAAGAAAUUAGGAAGAGACUGACUAAUUGUAAGGAUGGUUGAAGGGCUUAAACUGAGAUUUUCUACAUGAGUCCAGAGGAAUUCUAAAAGACCAAGAACAAGCUCUUCUCCAUUUGGAGAGCAUUCAACUUGAAGGAAAAGAUUUACUUAUUCUGCUGUGAAAUAGUAAGAUGAGGUUUACCGUGUGUUUGAGUGUUCCAUUGUGAUGAUAAAAUUUCUUUUGUGAAGAUAACUGAGUUUUAUUCCUCUUUUCUUUCCAUAAUUUCAAUUGGUCCUAUAUUUUAUGAUACUUUUUUUCUUUUUCUCCUUACUGUUAAAUGUUGCUUGACCUCUAUAUUGAGACUAAUUUUCAUGAUUUUUUAUUCCUCUUAGUGAAACAUAUAUCGAACCAACAAGGUUGUGAUGAUGGGAAUAAUUGUUCUAAGAGAGUUGGACAUCAAUUAGCCAAGAUUUUGUGGAACUAUAUAUGGGGUUUUGCUUGCAAAUAGUUGAAAAACGAUCACGCACUAGCUUUUUGGGGUACAGACUAUAGGACGGAACAAUAUGAGUUCAUGAUAUGUUUUGUUGUCAAGUGUAUCAAGGUCAAUUGAAGUUCUUGAAUUGUUUUUACACUUUUUAUAUAUCUUUUAGUUGCAACUA